GGCUGACCACAAAUUCAAAUUCAAACUAAAGUGAUGACCCUUUUCCCGAUUAAACGGUAGAGGACAGAGGAUUUACUACUGAUAAUUACUGCGUGGGCGAACACUGCAUCGUAACCUUAGAAUUUGUUUCUGCAGAACAUGCAUGAGUCAGACUACUGCAGAAGGAGUCAGAGGAGGAGAUCGAGAGUUAUAGCUGCCCUCUGUCCACUAGCUAACUAAUCAUCACGUGACAGGUACUUUCCCUUCUAGCUCUAACAUGCAUUAGAGAACCCUAGAUAGAGUAGUAACUCUCCCUCCUCUACGUUCUCUGAGAACGCUGUCAGGCACAGAGAUUUGCAAAAUACACUGGAGAUGAGUUAUAAUAACAAAUUGAAGAGGAUUUUUAUCGUAUGUUUUUCAUUGGUACUUCUUUUGAUCGGUAUCUAUAUCUAUAUCUAUCAAUAUAAGCAAUUAACCCACCGAGUGUUAACUCAUUCAGGAUUAGAUGUCUAUUCUUCUAUGGUUAUUCGAUCAGCAUACAUUGACAAACGUGUGAAAGAUGGUCACAAACACUCCGUAGUGAUUUUUGCAGAGGUCUCUAUGGAAUUACGCAAAUAUGGAUUAAUUGAAGGCUGCGGUGCCGGUGCUGAUACCAUUGCCAUUAAUGCUAAAGCUUUCAAAAUAACUCCUCUUUACUUUCUUUGGAUUAAUGAAAAUUACCCAAAACUUACUCACGAGGAGAUAAUGAUUGAUUGUUACGAUCUUGAACUCCAUGAAAACAACACAGUUUUUUUGCGUUACCGUCCACUUCCAAACUCGAAUAUAUUAAUAACAAGUGCUGUUAACGUUACAUACACUGUGCGUGGAGGUGACUAUAAAGACAAAGUUGUUGUUUGUACGACAUGCUUUGGCAAACCAUAUUGGUUAAGUGAGUGGUUGAAAUAUCAGAAGACUAUUGGAGUUGAUUUGGUUCAAUUAUAUGUUGAAGAGCAAUUUAUGAGUGACAAUGAAAAUCUCAAAAUUAUUGAAAGUUAUAUUCAAGAAGGUUUUGUGAAAGUGGAGAAUCGCAAAACAUAUUUCAAUACAUCACAGAUUUACUACCACUCACAACUUCUAAACUAUAAUGAUUGUUUGUAUCGCCAUCAAGAAGUGUUUGAAUAUGCCUUCUUUUUAGAUAACGAUGACUUUUUUAUCCCACGUUUACCUAACAAGACUAAUAUACACCACUACAUCAACCAAUUUUUUCCUAAGGACAAUCAAGCAUCAGUUGAAUUUAAAUGGCGUAAAUAUUAUCCAGCUGCAGAUUGUGGCUUAACACAACCGUUAUCAAGUUUGAAAGAUGGAAAUGUAACACGUUUGCUCAAAGUUAAAGAAUUCUGGGCUGCAACGGAGGCAAAAUUUGUUUGUAGACCAACCCUAACGACAAUGGUUGGAAUUCAUGCCACAGGUAGAGAAUUGGAAGGAACAACAACGUAUACAACAUCUAAUGAAGAAAAUUUGGUCUCUCAAAUAAUUAUAUCGAAAUGAGCCAGUUGAUACUGGAAACAUGGUGCAAGAUGCAUAUACCGAGUCCUUGUCGCAUUGUUGCCACGACACAAGCUUAUGCAAGCAUAAAGAAGGGAGGAGUAUCAUCAAUCUUUUCGUGGCUGCAGUGUUACAUGCAGUAGCAUGCUCGCUCAUAAAUUCCAAGGCACCCCAAUAGAUGGCCUCCCAGUCAAUCAACGUAAGAUGUUACUCGGACUACGAAAUCGAUGGUUGGUCGGCAUACGAGAAGUGCCUGGAUUGGUCUAAGCUAAAUGUAUCGUUCUAUCAAUUCUACCUCGCGAGCAAAGCAAGGGUAUGUAGAAUUUUUCCACACUAUUACCAUCAGACAGCUGACAGCACAGAGUCCUCAGAGGUCAGGGUAUAGCACACGAUACAGCAGCUUCAGCAAACCCACAAAUUCAGGAGAAGUAGAGAUUUGCACACUCUAUAAUGCAAAGGGCAGAUCAUGCAAGUACAAUUCGCUCACAUGUGAAAUUUUGCAAGUGGCUUCAUCCAGUACCAGGAACUAGAAAUCCAGCAAAGGGCAGCAGGCCAUCCUAGUGAGGCCGGGAUGGGAACAAGAGACAAACUUAAGGCUUAUUGCCAAAUUAUUCACUACGUCUAGUCUUUAUUAUAUGCUCAUCUGCAUUCAUGAACUAGUUAUAACUCAUGACAUUUAACAUUAAUUAUGUCGUUGUGCAGGUCCAGGAAACCACGAAAAAUGUUGAAGAUACGGCGCCAAAGGUCCCUUCUGUUGAGGCAAGUGGGAAUAGCCUCCUCCUUUUGCCAGAUAAACUAUAUAAGGACGGAAUAUUGAGGUGAAUUUUGUUGAAGCGAGGAGGACUUUCCCUCCAGUCGAAACACAUUGGUAAUGCCAAAGAAAAAGUUCGUCCAGUUACAAAGAUCAUGUUGUGGGCUCAAUGUUUUGCCAACUAUGUUGCAGUCCUGUCAAAGAAGUUUCCGUCGGCAACACUGGAACUUCUGUCUUUACAUGGCGAUUAUCAUAAAAUGUGCCAGGGACUACGAGAGGAUUGCCUGGGCGCAAUAUGAUCGUAAUUAUCGAAAGGCUAAGGGUCAACGCAAAGACUUGUGUUGGUCGCAUCAACUAAACGAUGUUCAUGGUCUGCUUCAAGCAGGAACCUCUGGAGGUUCAUGGCAUGUGCUCAUUACCUGACAGAUUUGAUGCCGGUCUUACGAUUUGUGCAAAUUUUCCCAUAACUUUCAUGUUCUGUGUGUAGCGGGAAUCACCCAAAAGUGUCCUGCACUAGCUCAAAAACAGGAGAGAAACCGGGGGCACAUUACGGGCAUAUGAAGAGGCCCCACAUAUUCUAAAAGGAGGCUAGGCGGCCUGUAGGGUUUGGAACUGGAGCUGUUAAUUGAUGCUGUGUGCCAAGAAGUGAUGCUGUGUGCCAAGAAGCCUCGACGGAGGAGGAAUUGAGGAAGUUCUCCUUUCGGUUUCAUUGUGGAGCUAACAUCUCAACAAAUUGAGAGACAAGGAGCAUAUUAUCGCUAGCAUAUCUAUACAUUUUUGUGUGUAUUCCUGUAAAGUUGAUUGAUGAAAUGAGGCGAGGUCUACUCUCCCUCAACUUUA